AACCGCCGUAUACCGAACGGUACGUACGGUGGUGUGAGAGGACGGUAAAUAAAAUAAUUAUUUACCUCCUACUCGAU
rfam:Desulfonispora thiosulfatigenes DSM 11270 genome assembly, contig: Dest_Contig00014